UACGGAGGGAGCUAGCGUUGUUCGGAUUUACUGGGCGUAAAGGGCGCGUAGGCGGCCACCGCAAGUCGACUGUGAAAUCUCCGGGCUUAACCCGGAAAGGUCAGCCGAUACUGCGGGGCUAGAGUGCAGAAGGGGCAACUGGAAUUCUCGGUGUAGCAGUGAAAUGCGUAGAUAUCGAGAGGAACACCAGGUGGCGAAGGCGGGUCUCUGGGC
rnacentral:rRNA from 1 species